CCUACGGGAGGCAGCAGUGAGGAAUAUUGGUCAAUGGUCGGGAGACUGAACCAGCCAAGCCGCGUGAGGGAGGAAGGUACAGAGUAUCGUAAACCUCUUUUGUCAGGGAACAAAGGCGGGGACGUGUCCCCGGAUGAGUGUACCUGAAGAAAAAGCAUCGGCUAACUCCGUGCCAGCAGCCGCGGUAAUACGGAGGACGCGAGCGUUAUCCGGAUUUAUUGGGCUUAAGGGGUGCGCAGGCGGUCGGUGAAGUCAGCGGUAAAAGCCCGGGGCUCAACCCCGGCCCGCCGUUGAAACUGGCAGUCUCGAGUUGGAGAGAGGUAUGCGGAAUGCGCGGUGUAGCGGUGAAAUGCAUAGAUAUCGCGCAGAACCCCGAUUGCGAAGGCAGCAUGCCGGCUCCACACUGACGCUGAGGCACGAAGGCGUGGGUAUCGAACAGGAUUAGAUACCCUGGUAGUC
rnacentral:rRNA from 1 species